UACGAAGGGGGCUAGCGUUGCUCGGAAUCACUGGGCGUAAAGGGUGCGUAGGCGGGUCUUUAAGUCAGGGGUGAAAUCCUGGAGCUCAACUCCAGAACUGCCUUUGAUACUGAGGAUCUUGAGUUCGGGAGAGGUGAGUGGAACUGCGAGUGUAGAGGUGAAAUUCGUAGAUAUUCGCAAGAACACCAGUGGCGUAGGCGGCUCACUGGCCCGAUACUGACGCUGAGGCACGAAAGCGUGGGGAGCAAACAGG
rnacentral:rRNA from 1 species